UCCAGCUUAUCACUGGCAGUCUUACUAGAGUCCCCGGCUUUACCCGCUGGCAACUAGUAACAAGGGUUGCGCUCGUUACGGGACUUAACCCAACAUCUCACGACACGAGCUGACGACAGCCAUGCAGCACCUGUCUCUCAGUUCCUUUCGGCACACUCUCAUCUCUGAAAGCUCCCAAGGAUGUCAAGGGUAGGUAAGGUUUUUCGCGUUGCAUCGAAUUAAACCACAUGCUCCACCGCUUGUGCAGGCCCCCGUCAAUUCCUUUGAGUUUUAACCUUGCGGCCGUACUCCCCAGGCGGAGAACUUAUCGCGUUUGCUUCGAUACCGAAGAGUCUUGCCCUCCAACAUCUAGUCCUCAUCGUUUACAGCGUGGACUAC
rnacentral:misc_RNA from 1 species